ensembl:snRNA U6 U6 spliceosomal RNA
GUGCUCAUUUCAGCAGCACAUACACUAAAAUUGGAACCAUACAGAGAAGAUUAGAAUAGCCCCUGAACAAGGAUGACAUGCAAACUCUUGGAACAUUCCACUUUUUC